UACGUAGGGCGCAAGCGUUGUCCGGAAUUAUUGGGCGUAAAGAGCUCGUAGGCGGCCAGUUGCGUCUGCUGUGAAAUCCCGGGGCUCAACCCCGGGCGUGCAGUGGAUACGGGCUGGCUAGAGGCAGGCAGGGGAGAACGGAAUUCCCGGUGUAGCGGUGAAGUGCGCAGAUAUCGGGAGGAACACCGGUGGCGAAGGCGGUUCUCUGGGCCGUGUACUGACGCUGAGGAGCGAAAGCGUGGG
rnacentral:rRNA from 1 species